CCUACGGGAGGCAGCAGUGGGGAAUCUUGCGCAAUGGGCGAAAGCCUGACGCAGCAACGCCACGUGCGGGAAGAAGGCCUUAGGGUUGUAAACCGCUUUCAGUAGGAACGAAAAUGACGGUACCUGCAGAAGAAGGUGCGGCCAACUACGUGCCAGCAGCCGCGGUGACACGUAGGCACCAAGCGUUGUCCGGAUUUAUUGGGCGUAAAGAGCUCGUAGGCGGUUCAGUAAGUCGGGUGUGAAAACUCUGGGCUUAACCCAGAGCCGCCACUCGAUACUGCUGUGACUUGAGUUCGGUAGGGGAGCAGGGAAUUCCUAGUGUAGCGGUGAAAUGCGCAGAUAUUAGGAGGAACACCGGUGGCGAAGGCGCUGCUCUGGGCCGAUACUGACGCUGAGGAGCGAAAGCGUGGGUAGCAAACAGGAUUAGAUACCCUGGUAGUCCACGCCGUAAACGUUGGGCACUAGGUGUGGGUUCCAACCACGGAAUCCGCGCCGUCGCUAACGCAUUAAGUGCCCCGCCUGGGGAGUACGGCGGCAACGCUAAACCNCGAAAGAUGACGNUGAGAGUUGCGAGCGACGACGAGGGAGNG
rnacentral:rRNA from 1 species